rnacentral:lncRNA from 1 species
CCUUCCACCAAUUGGAACAAAGACAACUGCUCAACAGCACGAAUUGAACGAUUUCAGCAAGCUUCCGAGCUCUUAAAAGUAAUUUCUCUAUUCACAGAAGUCGCAUUGAUGGAAUUUUAGGAGCUCUUUGAGAACACAUUUGAGGAUUUAAUAAUGUUUGUGCUUUAAGUUUCUGAGAGUGGAAUGUUUGCUUAUAGUUACGACUUCAUUGUGAUUUGGUUUCUUGAUGUUUUUGUCCUUUUAAUGCUGUUAUCGUUACUCUAAACGAAGUAAAUUCGAAUUUAUUUUUCUGAUAUAU